GAUGAACGCUAGCGGGAGGCCUAACACAUGCAAGCCGAGCGGUAGAGGCUCUUCGGAGUCUUGAGAGCGGCGUACGGGUGCGGAACACGUGUGCAACCUACCUUUUUCAGGGGGAUAGCCUUUCGAAAGGAAGAUUAAUACCCCAUAAUAUAUUGAUUGGCAUCAAUUGAUAUUGAAAACCACGGUGGAUAGAGAUGGGCACGCGCAAGAUUAGCUAGUUGGUGAGGUAACGGCUCACCAAGGCAAUGAUCUUUAGGGGGCCUGAGAGGGUGAUCCCCCACACUGGUACUGAGACACGGACCAGACUCCUACGGGAGGCAGCAGUGAGGAAUAUUGGACAAUGGGUGGAAGCCUGAUCCAGCCAUCCCGCGUGAAGGACGACUGCCCUAUGGGUUGUAAACUUCUUUUGUACAGGGAUAAACCUACCCUCGUGAGGGUAGCUGAAGGUACUGUACGAAUAAGCACCGGCUAACUCCGUGCCAGCCGCCGCGGUAAGAC
rnacentral:rRNA from 1 species